UCCGGUAUAGCUCAGUUGGUAGAGCACCUGACUGUUAAUCAGGGCGUCGUCAGUUCGAGUCUGACUACCGGAG
rnacentral:tRNA from 1 species